GCUAUUGUCCAAACAAAAUAAACUAGCUACUCUGAAUCUGUUGUUGGAAUCCUUUAUUAGCAACUAACUGAGUUUUGUUGUUGGAAUACUUUAUUAGAAACUAACUGGAAUCAAAAUAAAGAUCUCAAUAGCUUGUUGCCACUCGGUGGAUCUUAUGGCUUGUGAAAAUGAUGUUGGUUCAGUAAGGACAAGAAUGUUGGUUCAGUAAGGAUAUGAAUGUUGGUU